UACGGGGGGAGCAAGCGUUGUUCGGAUUUACUGGGCGUAAAGGGCGCGUAGGCGGCCACCGCAAGUCGACUGUGAAGUCUCCGGGCUUAACCCGGAAAGGUCAGCCGAUACUGCGGGGCUAGAGUGCAGAAGGGGCAACUGGAAUUCUCGGUGUAGCGGUGAAAUGCGUAGAUAUCGAGAGGAACACCUGCGGCGAAGGCGGGUUGCUGGGCUGACACUGACGCUGAGGCGCGAAAGCUAGGGGAGCGAACGGG
rnacentral:rRNA from 1 species